AACUUUUGGCAACGGAUUUCUCGGCUCUUGCAACGAUGAAGAAUGCAGCCAAUUGUGAUACGUAUCAUGAAUUGCAGAACUCUGAAUGAUAAAUUUUUGAACGCACAUUGCACCGGCUUAACGGCUGGUAUGUCUGGCUGAGAACCUUA
rnacentral:rRNA from 1 species